GUUAGAGGACCAAAAAGGUAAUUUAGCCUUUCCAACAAUCAUAAACUACAGGUUCAAUAGAUAUCACAACACUGUUCUUGUUGACACAAUUGACUACUCCCAGUGCAUCACUAUUUACUUCCACACUUUGGAUACCUUGAGCUGUUGCAUAUUAUAAGGCCCACCUAACUCCCAUUGCUUCUGCCAGCAUUGGAUCAACGUGAAUAUCCCUGCCUGGUUUUUUAGAACCAUCCCCCAACCAUUUUGUCCAUUAGGGAAACAACCUACGUCAACCGACAGAGUAUGUUGCAUAACUUGAUUUGUUUCCGCAUUAUUCCUGUUCCUGCAAACCUGUGUGGGUCUUAAUUUUGCGUUUGCUGCAACGUGUUCCUGCACAAACUGCACUGCAGACUGAGCCAAUCUGAUUGGGUCUGUUGGAGUACCAUUAAACACAGCCUGAUUCCUAGCAUACCAGACUUUCCACAGAAUUGUACAAAAAAAUUGUGAGCCUCAAACAUCAUUACAGUUCAGCCACUCUAGGAUCCAGCAGUUUAGAUCAACAUUCACAGGGGGUUGUAUGCCUAAAGGUGAGGCAAAUAAGGACAAACAUGCUAGAUUACAAUUCAUAUACAGAUGGCUCACAUUUUCUAUGGAUGAGUGGCAGAGAGGGCAUACAGUGUCUAAAUGAAUACCUUUUUUUUGGAGAUUUGCUCUAGUGGGCAGAAUGUUUUUAGCAAGUCUCCACAUAAAAGUUUUGAUCUUGUUUGGGAUAGGAGCCUUCCAAAUAUCAUUCCAUAAUUUACCAUCCCUGUCGGUUGAUGGACCUGGACGGAGGUUUUCUUUGUUGGUGCACAAGAGAUGGUAUGCUGAACGUACUGAUAUGGGAAUGCUGACAAUCUUUAAAGCUUCUGCACUGUCAAAAUCGUUUUUCCAUGUUCUUACUGUACUUUUUUAAUACCUUUUAUUUAUUUGUCAUCCGGUUCAACUAUAGUUGAACCCCAAUUUUACCAUGACCGGAAGUCUCGCAGGUUUGAUAUUCUGUCUGGUUUUCAAAACAUUGCAAAAUAUAAAGGAUUGAUUGCAGAGAUUCAAAUUGCUGUUCACAGCUGAGUCAUUUCUCUUUUACCUAGACAUUGGACUUUUAUACGUGGUUUGAGGGAAAGUGGUCCUUUUGAAUUUCUGAUAAUUUAGGUCUCUGGAUCAAAACACAACUCGAUGGUGCACCUGGAGUCUCUAUAGCAAAUAAUAUUUUGGGAAAAUUACAUCAGAGGUCCUUUAAGUUUGAUGUUUGUAACAUAUUGGUCCUUUAAGUUAUUUCACAAACUUAAAGGACUUAAAGAACCCCUGGUGUAAUUUAACCUAAUAUUUUGUAGUUAUGUAGUAAACUUCUGUAAAGCAUGAUUUGGAAUAAAAGGGCAACAUGGUACACUAAAGCUCCCGCAUACGCAGGGUCCGGGAAGGGGUCCCACCAUUUAGUGUAUUGUAGGCAACCUUACCCUAUUUUUUACACAAGAGGCUGUUUCAAAGACUUGAAUCCGUGACCUUCCAAUCAUAUGACAACAACUUUACCAGUUCUGCCAAGGUUACCCUCAAAGCAUGAUUAGUUGUUUGAAGAAUCCUCUGCGGUGCAUUGAAAAUAUUAAGCACACUCAUUUAUUUUUU
rnacentral:lncRNA from 1 species